rnacentral:pre_miRNA from 1 species
CCGCCACCCAUGUGUGUAGGACCCCAAAGGAUCGCCAUUAAAUUUGGCACAGAUGUCUAGAAAAGUUAUCACAUGGGUGUGAGACUUGACAUUUCUAUAGAUUCAUGCCAAAUUUAAUGGUGAUCCUUUGGGGUCCUACACACAUGGGUGGGGG